CCUACGGGUGGCAGCAGUGGGGAAUAUUGCGCAAUGGGCGAAAGCCUGACGCAGCGACGCCGCGUGAAGGAUGAAGGUCUUCGGAUCGUAAACCUCUGUCAGCAGGGAAGAACGGUCACUGUGCUAAUCAGCAGUGAAUUGACGGUACCUGCAAGGGAAGCACCGGCUAACUCCGUGCCAGCAGCCGCGGUAAUACGGAGGGUGCGUGCGUUAAUCGGAAUUACUGGGCGUAAAGCGCGCGUAGGCGGUAUGUCAAGUCAGGGGUGAAAUCCCCGGGCUCAACGUGGGAACUGCCUUUGAAACUGGUAAACUGGAGUGUGUGAGAGGAUAGCGGAAUUCCUGGUGUAGGGGUGAAAUGCGUAGAUAUCUGGAGGAACAUCAGUGGCGAAGGCGACUAUCUGGCACAUAACUGACGCUGAGGAGCGAAAGCGUGGGGAGCAAACAGGAUUAGAUACCCUUGUAGUC
rnacentral:rRNA from 1 species